rnacentral:rRNA from 1 species
CCCCUAGAUGUUCUGGGCCGCACGCGUGCUACACUGACCGGCGCAACAAGUUUCUUUCCUUGGCUCGAUAGGCCUGGGUAAUCUUUGAACGCCGGUCGUGAUGGGGAUAGAUCCUUGCAAUUUUUGAUCUUCAACGAGGAAUUCCUAGUAAAUGCGAGUCAUCAUCUCGCGUUGAUUACGUCCCUGCCCUUUGUACACACCGCCCGUCGCACCUACCGAUUGAAUGGUCCGGUGAAGCCUCGGGAUUGCGAAUGCUUCGUGCGGACGCGAGAACUUGGCUAAACCUUACCAUUUAGAGGAAGGUGAAGUCGUAACA